rnacentral:lncRNA from 1 species
CAGGAGUCUUGGCGGAGAAGGCAAUGGCAACCUACUCCAGUACUCUUGCUUGGAAAAUCCCAUGGACGGAGGAGCCUGGUAGGCUGCAGUCCAUGGGGUUGCUAAGAGUCAGGCACGACUGAGCGACUUCACUUUCAUUUUCACUUUUAUGCAUUGGAGAAGGAAAUGGCAACCCACUCCAGUAUUCUUGCCUGGAGAAUCCCAGGGACAGAGGAGCCUAGUGGGCUGCCGUCUAUGGGGUCGCACAGAGUUGGACACGAUUGAACCGACUUAGCAGCAGCAGCAGCAGGAGUCUUGGAGUUUAAAUGGGAUGCUUCUUUAGAGUGUGAGUGUUAUGUGAAGUGUAAACAGGAGAGGAACAAGGGGUCAGCUUCAAGAAACACAGAGUUGAAGAGGGGAGAUUUCUUCUUGCCAAAGGUGGUCCCAGUAACUACAGCACCUUCACUAAAUGGGCCUGAUUGAGGACCUGCCUGCUCAUCCUUGCAGCCAAGAUGCAGGCCUGGCAGAGCCAGUCUCCUGAUGACUCAUCGUCCCUUCAGAGGUUUCCUGGACCCCUACUCAAGAAAACACUGGGCUGUGCCUCUCAAGUACAGCGAUGAACAGGACGCCUGCAGCCACAUCUGCAGAAACCAGGCCAUGGCAGCUCCUCCUACCAGGCCAGGAAGGGUGCCCUGGCUGUGGUCACCAUGUCCUGAGAGUCUCCUCCUUCAAGUCAGGAACCUUCCAACCCCCUUCCACUCCACCUGCUAUUUCUGGGACUCUGCCUGGAGAGGGGGACAAAGCGGAGAUCAUCCGCCAGGCCAGCCUGUCCUUAACUUUUCUCUCUAAGAUGUGUCUGAAGGGUGUGGAUGGAGAGCUGAAGGAAGAGAAGAUCUUCUGGGUUCUAAUCCCUCCUCUGUCUUGAAUUUGCUGUGUGACCUUGGGAGAGUUACUUCACCUCUCUGGCCUUCCUGUUUUUCAACUGUGGAAUAAGAAGGUAUCCCAGGCAUGGAUUCAGACCACCCAGGACUGAAUCCUGAAUCCACCACUAACAAGCUCUGCGACCUUGGACAGCCUUUCAGAAACUUAGUGUCCUCAUCUGUAUGAAUGAGAUGACCUACCUCAACAGCCGUUGAGAAGAUUAAAAGAGAUAAUCCAUGUGAAGUCCUCAGCAUAGUGCCUGGCUCACAGUAAACAAUCAAUAAAUGUUUGCUGUAAUUAUUAUUAUUACCA